rnacentral:rRNA from 1 species
GAUGAACGCUGGCGGCGUGCCUAAUACAUGCAAGUCGAGCGAACAGACGAGGAGCUUGCUCCUCUGACGUUAGCGGCGGACGGGUGAGUAACACGUGGAUAACCUACCUAUAAGACUGGGAUAACUUCGGGAAACCGGAGCUAAUACCGAAAAAUAUAUUGAACCGCAUGGUUCAAUAGUGAAAGUCGGUUUUGCUUUCACUAAUAGAUGAACACGGGCCGCAUUAGCUAGUUGGUAAGGUAACGGCUUACCAAGGCAACGAUGCGUAGCCGACCUGAGAGGGUGAUCGGCCACACUGGAACUGAGACACGGUCCAGACUCCUACGGGAGGCAGCAGUAGGGAAUCUUCCGCAAUGGGCGAAAGCUUGACGGAGCAACGCCGCGUGAGUGAUGAAGGUCUUCGGAUCGUAAAACUCUGUUAUUAGGGAAGAACAAAUGUGUAAGUAACUAUGCACGUCUUGACGGUACCUAAUCAGAAAGCCACGGCUAACUACGUG